rnacentral:rRNA from 1 species
CCUACGGGGCGCUGCAGUGGGGAAUAUUGGACAAUGGGCGAAAGCCUGAUCCAGCCAUGCCGCGUGUGUGAAGAAGGCCUUCGGGUUGUAAAGCACUUUCAGUGGGGAAGAAAGCCUUGGGGCUAAUACCCUCGAGGAAGGACAUCACCCACAGAAGAAGCACCGGCUAACUCCGUGCCAGCAGCUGCGGUAAUACGGAGGGUGCGAGCGUUAAUCGGAAUUACUGGGCGUAAAGCGCGCGUAGGCGGUCUGAUAAGCCGGUUGUGAAAGCCCCGGGCUCAACCUGGGAACGGCAUCCGGAACUGUCAGGCUAGAGUGCAGGAGAGGAAGGUAGAAUUCCCGGUGUAGCGGUGAAAUGCGUAGAGAUCGGGAGGAAUACCAGUGGCGAAGGCGGCCUUCUGGACUGACACUGACGCUGAGGUGCGAAAGCGUGGGUAGCAAACAGGAUUAGAUACCCCGGUAGUC